AUUCAGAGGCAGGUUCAACAUGAAGUUUAAAGCAGGUGCUCCUCUCCAGCUCUUCAUCCUGAGUACAAAACAGGAACAUGAGAUAUGUUUUAAUCAGUGUGAGUUGAUGUGCGUCAUCUAUCUGCCCGGUGUAGUUUAUGCCACUUGGCCAGGCUUGGGUGUAGUUCUGCAUGGUUGAGAAGAAGAGUUAUCACUCGUCUGACCCUCAUCCAAGAUUAGAGCUGCUGAACUGACUACCGCCCACUGUCCACGUUAAAAGUGCUGCAGGCCAGGCCAGCGCAGGCCGCCAUGUCAAGGUCGCUUGCUGAAACUGUCGACGCACAUCCAAAAGAAUUCUCAGCUUUAGUGUGCCAGCCAUCCACGUCAUGACAGGUGACAACCAGGCUUCCGAUUAGACUGUAAGCUGUGCACCCCCAGUCCACACGCACCAAAGACAGUUCCCUCAAGGGACUGCUCACCAUGGGGACCCGCGUUUUGCUCAUGGCCAUCAUCUUUCUAAGGUAAUUAAGAGCAGGGAGAUGAGGAGGUUCAUCUUGAGAUAAACUACUAAUUGAAACAUUCCUAUCAGGAAGAGGUCAAAUUGUCCCUCUUUUCUUUACUUUCACAAUCUACGAGGCUUUUGAGUGGCCCUUGCUGUUAAAGCCGAGUGGUCUGAAGAGGUCAGUGGAUGGUUUGUUUAGUUGGAAGUGGUGCGCAUACACUCAUUUGUGCCAUUUGGUGGUUAACCUUGAUUUGUGACCUCUCCUGAUUUCAUCUUUAGCUGUUUUAACUCCAUUUCUUCAACUAAGAGAAGCUUGAUUAGAUGCUUUUUCUAUUAUCUUUAUAUAGCGCAUACACUGUCUUCCUCAGAGUGGCUCUUAGCACUGUAGUUAAGGCCAAUUACACUAACAGCACUAGUGCGCUCAAUUUUUUUAUCCUCCUUUGAUAUGUGGAGUUAUUAGAUCUAGUGAUUCACAGUAUUGCUUCAGCACAGUUUUGUGUACUUUCCCCAUCUUACAUAGCGGACUGAUGGAAAGCCAGCAAUAAAGUGUUUGGGUUAUUGAGGCUAGCCUAACUACAUCCAAUGGCAGUGAUAUUUCCGAAGAUACAUCACAUUAUACACAGAUAAUUAGUUUAAUGAGUUUAAAUGCCUGUGUCUUUCUAUUUUAGGCCAUUCAGCUUUAAGUUCUCAAUUAAAAAUCUAGCUUUUGUUGGAAUUAAUUAGAUAGUAAUGACUAAGCUAAUAGAGGAAAAUGCCUCACUUUAUUGUUAGCCCCCUUUUUUUUUACACCUGUUCUAGAUGACAUUGCCUGAGGGAUAAUCGGGAUGUUUACUAAUUGGGUGUUCCAUAUAAACAGUUCCCUUGUAGAGAAAUUAGUCAGAGGAAACAGAAAACUAAGCAUGUUUUCCUAAGCCUGUUAGCCACUACAGCACCUCUGAUAAGUACAACUAAUUCCGUUAGUAUCGUGAUGAUUUUUUUUUUUCCCGCCGUUAAAUGAAAAGCAUAUAUGGUGGGGCUGAUAGCACCUGCUGUAGGGGUGGGCCCGGAUUGUCAGGCUUGCUGGGCUAAUGGAGUCUCGGGCUUCUGUGCAGCAGAUGCCCUUUAUUUGUCCUUCAGACAGGAGGAAAGGAGAAAAUGGAUCGAUGGGGCUUUAUUGUUGCUUGGAAUCCACACAUACCAUGAGUAGAAAGGAAGUGCUCUGUAGAACUGCUAGACAUAUUGGAUAUAGGGAGGGGGUCAGGAAGUCUCAGGUAUCUGGACGAGAUCAAUAGAGGAGAAAAACAGAGGAGAGAGAAACAGAAGGAACCUGAGGUCUGACCUAAAGCAUUCCCUGUUUCAUUGGAGUUUAAUGUAUUAAAAUAUUUAAUGCACAUGCAAUAUUAAUACAGUUUAAUACUGUAACAAUGCUGUACAAUUCAAGUCACUUUAGAGGGCUUCCCCAUUCCACCAUGCAUGGGAAAGACUUGUUUAGGUUUGUACCUAAAAUGAUAUUUCCUUAUUUCACCAAAUCUAAACUCUAAUAUGCUAAAGUAAAUCCUACGAUGAUGAUGGUUGGUACCAUAAUAGGAUAAUAAUAACACUAAUAAAACAAAUUGCCACUUUUUAUUUACAGUACAAAUCUUACUAAAUGGAAACACUGAAUAUUGAAGGUUAUCAAAUAUUGAAGUUGAUGGGAUCCAAAAACUUACAGUAACCUAAAGAUGUGAAAUUUAAAAUUACAGCUGCAGUGUAACAGAUUUUACAAUAGAAACUACACAAAGGAAAGAAACAAAGGCAUAGUUUGUUCUGUGUCAAGCUUAAUCAUGCAGUACAUGGGCAGGAAUCAGAAGUGAGUCGGAUGCCCCAUAGCAAACUUUCUUGCCUGGGGUGGAAUUGCUCACCCGGGGCUCUUCUGCUUGAAAGUUCAGGAAAGAAAUCGCUAAACUUCCUCGCAGUGAUGUUACAGUCUACACUGUGAUUCUCUUUUAACCUUUUUUUUUUUUGUUUUU
ensembl:lncRNA